AAUUUUACAAUUUAAGAAAAUAAAAUUUAUAUAUACAAAAUUUCAAAUAUUUAUUAAUCAUAAUUUUUAAUUACAACUAAUAAAUUUACCACCAAAAUUAUAUAUUUUUGUAAUCUACAGAGCCAAAAAGUUACCGCCAAAAUUCUACAGCUACAGCUUACACACUUACAGCUAAAAUUCUACAGCAAAAAAUUUACAGUUACAGUCUAACCAAUCACCCACAAUAUAUAGUAUAAACCAAAAGUUGCCGAAAAUUCUGUAGCAAAUGAGUACUAUUGGAUCAAAGUUACUUUGUUCAUUAUUUACAAGUC
rnacentral:sRNA from 1 species